UCCAAACUGUGGCCUCCAAUUUUAUUUUUCUUUAACCUGUUCAUCUGGUAUUUCCUCAUGAUUAGAUUUAGGUUAUUAGAUUUAGGUAAUUAGAUUCCUCCCUUUUGGCAGGAAUACCACAGAAGUGAUGUCAUACCCAUUUCAGUGCAUCAUAUCUGGAGCUACAAAAUGACUGCUGUUUGCUUGUGUCUCUUUGGGAAAAUUAUAUAAGAGUUCCUUAUUCUCCUGGAACAGGCAAACUCAGGACAGGAUACACAGCAUGCUAAGAGAACAAGACAAACUCCAUCUUGGCUCUUUCACUGGCAGCCUCUUCCUCAAGGACUUAACUUGUGCAAGCUGACUCCCAGCACAUCCAAGAAUGCAAUUAACGGAUAAGAUACUGUGGCGAGCUAUAUCCGCAGUGCCCAAGAAUUCGUCUGAUUGAUAACGCCCAAAGCCCUGUGUCUAUCACCUUGUAAUAGUCUUAAAGCCCCUGCACCUGGAACUGUUUACUUUCCUGUAACCAUUUAUCCUUUUACC